rnacentral:rRNA from 1 species
UACGUAUGGAGCAAGCGUUAUCCGGAUUUACUGGGUGUAAAGGGAGCGCAGGCGGUCUGGCAAGUCUGAUGUGAAAGGCCGGGGCUCAACUCCGGGACUGCAUUGGAAACUGUCAGACUGGAGUGUCGGAGAGGUAAGCGGAAUUCCUAGUGUAGCGGUGGAAUGCGUAGAUAUUAGGAGGAACACCAGUGGCGAAGGCGGAUUGCUAGACUGUAACUGACACUGAGGCACGAAAGCGUGGGGAGCAAACAGG